GCCUCUGUAUAUAUUAAGUUACCUCUGUUCAAAUAUAAAUAUUUAACAUUUCAGUGCAAAUGGUCGAAAUUCCGUUUUAAGCUGCAGCUCUGAAAUGACCAGAAGGACACGUUUCAUGGACAAGUUUGUUGCAAAAUAUUGUUUUGAAUACAUGUCAAAUAAACGUUUGUCUGUCACACACAAACGUGCACACUGUACAGUGCUCACACAAACGCAAGGCUAUGCAAAAAGGACAAACAGAUAAUCAAACAAGGCAAAUAUCUGGCCAAAGUUAAGCAAGCCAAAACUUUGGCAUCUCCCAGAUUUCAGUUGCUGUUCUCAUUUCUCUGCCAAGUGAUUCACUCGCACAGGUGUUAGCCAGAAACGGAGAUUGCCAGUCUAAGGUGAGCAGAAACAAAUCGGAAACACUGUUUGUAAGGUAAAAGUUUUUAAUGAGUUGCGACAGGGCGAUGCCAGCGGAAAUAUUCCGAGGAGCCGCGGGCGGACAGGAGCGUGCUGCUCGCUGGCUGCUGAUUUUUUCCAAUAAUUUAACUCACGUUGCGUAUACGCCGCGUAAACGUCGCCCGAAAACGCAACCGCACAUGCCACUUGCUGCACAAUCCAAUCAAAAGUUUACAAUUUACGCUCGAAAUGCUGCGCCUGGGACGCGGCACACAUUGAUAGGCGUCGGCAGCCACCCCCCACCCACAUUGCCACCCAACCACCCAAGCCACUCACCUCCCCCACAUCAUCUACUUUGCCAUCUGAGUGUGCAGGGCGUAAAAAAUGUAUUCAUCGCUUUAAAUAUGUGCAGGACCAAGUUUCGCCGGCAGGCCUACACCUCACAUCCUACCAGUCUGCUGUGUGCGCUGUUAAAGUGGACCUUUGUAAUCGAAAAAUAUGCAAAAAUAAUAAUUAGUUUAGAAAUUAAUUUAUUGUUUAUUUCUUUCUGUCAGAAAGAAGUUGUUUCUUCUCCGCUUUAAGAAAAUUCUUCAAUUCAUGCGACAAAUCCGCUUACCGCUCUCACACUCUUUGCGGAAAAACCAAGCUAAGGACAAAACCUUCAGAGUGCGGAACAUUAAAAGAAAAAAUUUUGGAAAAAACCUAGACAGUCGUUUACACGGCUUAUUCGUCUUCAUUUCAACAUCAACGAUGAUUAUGAUUUAAGGUCAUCCAUCCACAAAGGCUUCCAGUAAUGCUCUUGCACUGGAAUGACAGAGGGGUGCAAUCGAAACGUAAUUAGCGUCUUGAGAUGCAUUCAGCUUUAUGCGUAGGAGGAAGUUACUCGAAGACCUAUGAACCGAUGUGCAAUGGAACUUUAAGACACUUUAAAAGAUCAAAAUCAUACAAGUAUACUCGAGGCCAAAGAAAUUAAAUUCCUUCUGUACACUUUGCACCAAAUACCAAUAGAAUCAAGUAGUAGUAUAAAUAAAUUUCAUAGCUUUAUAGCUGCAAUGACUUCCUUACUAUCGGCAAUGAAAUUCAAUAUUCAAUAUUUCGAUUUUCGCCCUCUCCAGUUGCCGUCUGUGUGUAUUGCCACCGCUGCUUGCGACAUUGUGGCAACUGCAACUCUAUUAGGAUCCAUCAAUGUCAGCCAAUUUAUGCGCAUAUUAAAAAUGCGGUCUGCCGAUGACAAACACACCAGCAGCCAGGCUCCAAGGAGCACGAAGUAGUGCUGCCGCAGGAAGAUGAAAGAGAAGGACGCGACAAGGACUUGGCCAGGACGCACGUGGCGCUCACAUAGGCAAACAUAUGACGAUGCGCGAAAUGGAGGAACUACUCGGCAACGUGACAGGAGCAGAAGCGCAAAGAAAACCUGAAGCAGCUGGAGGACUCGGUAGUGCUAUCAAAAAGGGUUCGGAAUACACUUGAAAAAAAAACGCAAGUUUAUGCAAGAAGGUUAUAAGAAACUACUUUUAAAGCUGUUAGGAAAAGAUGCAAAACUUUACAAGAGCUGAUAGUUUAGUGAAAGUAGAUUGUGGUCGUCAAUUCCAAUUUUAAUCUUCUUUGUUUAAUACAAAUGUGAAUAAAGAGUAGGAAAUUUGGCUAGCA
rnacentral:sRNA from 13 species